rnacentral:rRNA from 1 species
UACGGAGGGUGCAAGCGUUAUCCGGAUUCACUGGGGUUUAAAGGGUGCGUAGGCGGACAGGUAAGUCAGUGGUGAAAUCUCCGAGCUUAACUCGGAACUGCCGUUGAUACUAUCUGUCUUUGAAUAUCAUGGAGGUAAGCAGAAUAUGUCAUGUAGCGGUGAAAUGCUUAGAUAUGACAUAGAACACCAAUUGCGAAGGCAGCUCACUACCCAGAUAUUGACACUGAGGCACGAAAGCGUGGGGAUCAAACAGG